rnacentral:rRNA from 1 species
UACGGAGGGUGCGAGCGUUAAUCGGAAUCACUGGGCGUAAAGGGCGCGUAGGCGGCUAUGCAAGUCAGGUGUGAAAGCCCACGGCUUAACCGUGGAAUUGCAUCUGAAACUGCAUGGCUUGAGUAUGGGAGAGGAAAGUGGAAUUCCCGGUGUAGAGGUGAAAUUCGUAGAUAUCGGGAGGAACACCAGUAGCGAAGGCGACUUUCUGGCCCAAUACUGACGCUGAGGCGCGAAAGCGUGGGGAGCAAAC